GUGGGGAAUAUUGGGCAAUGGGGGCAACCCUGACCCAGCGACGCCGCGUGAGGGAAGAAGGCCUUAGGGUCGUAAACCUCUGUUGUGUGGGAAGAAGGAAGUGACGGUACCACACGAGGAAGUCCCGGCUAACUACGUGCCAGCAGCCGCGGUAAUACGUAGGGGGCGAGCGUUGCUCGGAUUGACUGGGCGUAAAGCGCGCGUAGGCGGUCCAUUAAGUGUGCGGUGAAAUUCAGAGGCUCAACCUCUGUCCCGCCGCGCAAACUGGUGGUCUUGAGAUUGGGAGGGGGAUGCGGAAUUCCUGGUGUAGCGGUGAAAUGCAUUGAUAUCAGGAGGAACACCGGCGGCGAAAGCGGCAUCCUGGCUUAUAUCUGACGCUGAGGCGCGAAAGCGUGGGUAGCAAACGGGAUUAGAAACCCUAGUAGUCC
rnacentral:rRNA from 1 species